CUCUGGGUUUGUUUUGGAAUGAGGAGUUCCCUUCUGGCUUAGAAGAGAUCUUGGAGAGUCAAGAAGCCCUUGCUCUGGGAGGGCAAAACAAAGGAGGGAACUGCCCCGUGAGAUGGAGAGAGAAGCAGGCACAAAUAAAUUAACAGUCAAAGUGACAUUGGUGAGAAGAAAAGUAGUUUUUCUGAACAUGGGGUGGGGUGCCUCCCUGAGAAUCCAGGAUUGCUGUCCUUUAUCAAAAAAGCGUGAAUUCCCAAUCUCUGCUUGACUCUGUGGCAUAAAACUCAUCCUGAGUGUCGCUCAGGAGCCUGCAAGGUCCAAACACUCCUUUCGGCCCCCACUCUUGGAGGUACACACCCCUACACCUACAGACACAAAGGACCAUGGGGCAGACAAUGGGGAAAAUGCACGUUCUGUUCUUGUGGUCAUUUCCACACACUGGUGGGCACUAGGAAAUGCAGACAGAAACCUUGCUGGUUUUCCUUCCUGGAGUGCUCUGGUCUCCCACUGUUCCUGGAGACAAUGGGUCUGUGUGGGAGAGACAAGCCACUGGCAACCGAGUUCAUGAAUUAAUUGAAGCAAUUCAAAGAAGACAUCCUGUGUGCAUGCCCAUGCCGGCUGGAGCUGCGUGUGAGCAGGCCUGCUUGCCUGAAGGGUUGGAGUGGUGUGUGAGGAUGCACGUAGAAAGAUGGGUUUUCUUGCACGAGAAGGCAUACCAAGUGCGCGACACAGCCAUUGAGUCCUCGGUGGUAACCAAGGUGAAGGGUUUCGGACGCUAUGCCAACAGAGUCAUGGACGUGUCUGAUUAUGUGACCCCACCCCAGGGCACCUCCGUCUUUGUCAUCAUCACCAAGAUGAUCGUUACUGAAAACCAGAUGCAAGGAUUCUGCCCAGAGAACGAGGAGAAGUACCGCUGUGUGUCUGACAGCCAGUGUGGACCUGAGCGUUUCCCGGGUGGGGGGAUCCUCACCGGCCGCUGCGUGAACUACAGCUCUGAGCUCCGGACCUGUGAGAUCCAGGGCUGGUGCCCCACGGAGGUGGACACCGUGGAAAUGCCUAUCAUGAUGGAAGCGGAGAACUUCACCAUUUUCAUCAAGAACAGCAUCCGUUUCCCCCUCUUCAACUUUGAGAAGGGAAACCUCCUGCCCAACCUGACAGCCAGGGAUAUGAAGACCUGCCGUUUCCAUCCUGAAAAGGCUCCUUUCUGCCCCAUCUUGCGGGUGGGGGACGUGGUCAAGUUUGCAGGGCAGGAUUUUGCCAAGCUGGCCCGCACGGGUGGAGUUCUGGGCAUAAAGAUUGGCUGGGUGUGCGAUUUGGACAAGAGCUGGGACCAGUGCAUCCCCAAAUACUCCUUCACUCGGCUGGACAGCGUUUCUGAGAAAAGCAGCAUCUCCCCGGGGUACAACUUCAGGUUUGCCAAGUACUACAAGAUGGAGAAUGGCAGCGAGUACCGCACGCUCCUGAAGGCUUUCGGCAUCCGCUUCGACGUGCUGGUGUACGGGAACGCCGGCAAGUUCAACAUCAUCCCCACCAUCAUCAGCUCCGUGGCGGCCUUUACUUCAGUGGGAGUGGGGACAGUCCUCUGUGACAUCAUCCUGCUCAAUUUCCUCAAGGGGGCCGACCAGUACAAAGCCAAGAAGUUUGAAGAGGUGAACGAAGCUACACUGAAGAUCGCCAACCCAGAGUUCUCCAGGGACCAGGCCACAGAGGAGAAGCAGUCCACGGACUCAGGGGCUUACUCCAUUGGCCACUGAUGCCCCACGCUCACCCACGGGCUCCAGGCCUCCCAACAGGGAGCCCCACUGGCAAGGGGGUGGGGGAGAAUAAGGGCUCUAACUUCUGUGGCCCAGCCCAUGGGGCCACGGCUGGGAGCCAGGGGACUGGGCCUCCCGUGCUCCUGCAGACUGGUAGUGCUCCCCCUACAACCUCAGUUCACCUUCACCCUCUGCAUGCCCCCAUCUGCUUCCCAGGACCCCGGGACUGCAGCACCUAAGCUGCCCCCUUCCAAAGAGUAGAGAUACUAAUAGUAAUGACAUGACGGGUGCCCACAAGGACCUACCAAGUGCCAGGCACUUCCACACACACUGUCUCAUUUAAUCCUCAGAUAAUCCUCUAAGGCAAAUACUCAUUUCCCUGUUUUGAAGACAAACUGAGACUUAGAGAGACUGAGCCAAUGGUACCAGGCCACACGGCCAGGAAGUGAGAGAACUGGGAUUUGAACCCAGGUCUGACCAACUCCUUUGCCCACACCCACAAGAGAAGAAGGAAGUCCCUUACUGGAACAGCUGCCCGUCUCUGACCAUGAUUAGGUUAAUAAAGAGUAACCCCAAGCUUUCCCAGGAACUCAGGCCCCACUGUAGGGGAGCCUGCUGAGACAGUGGGUCUCAUCUCUCACUUGGGUGGGUUCCUAGUUCAGAAGGAAAUAGGAGGCAUGACUGUCCCACAGCUCAGUCCCCAAACCACUCCGGGAGCCAGAUCAGGCCACGCCGUGGGGGGAGGUGAUUCUGUGUUUGCAGUUGGGCCCUGUCCCAGCAGCUCAGCAAUCUUUACUUAAAAUGUCAACGAAAAAGCUGCAGUGGGACCCAAUGUGCUGUGAGCUGCUCAGCCAGGUAGCCUGUCCUGUCCUAAGAUGGUAGUCUUCUAAGGUAGAACCUAGAGGGGCCUCAGAAACCAUCUUGUCCCAAUUUGUUCCUUACAGAUGAGCAAACUAAGGCCAGAAAGAGAAAAAAACUGGUCCAGGUCCACAGAGUUAGUGGCCAAGAGAGAAGCCAGGUGUCCUGCUGCUCCGAGGAGGAGGAGGAAGCUGGAAAGAGCGUCACCCUGGCUCCAUUGGCCCAUAUGUCCCACUGCCUCCCUUCUGGGCUUUCAUACACUGAGAGGCCCCCAAACACACCAGGACAGAGUUCAGUGCAGACCCAGCCAUUAGGAAUCCCACACCGUAUACAAUUUAGAAGCAUCUUCUUAAAACUGAUAUAAAAUUAGGAAUUAGAAGAAGCUUAUGCAAGCAAGGACGCUGGGGUGUGAGUUUCCUGGGAUUCCUGGUAAAUCUGCAUCUGGAAAAGCUGGAGUGUGGACAUGAUCAUAAGGUCUCAGCAAAAAUGAGCUGAAUGAUAGAUGGGGGGCUGGCCCCUCACUAGAAGGUGCAGGGAAAUGAGGCGGGGGCAGGUCUGUGAGCAGUUUGGGAGGUUCACACUGGGUGCAUUUGCAAAAGCCCAACCCCAGUGAUCUCCCAUCUCAGGGGGAGAAGGGGCAAUACUCCCUCACCUGAGGCCCAUAGCUCUGCCCUCACUCACAGUCCCCUUCUCAGGGUGGUGGGUGACAUCACCCCAGGGCCAGCCUCAGGAACUGGGCAGUGUUGGGAGACCUGACCAAACUUCAUUUCUCCAGCAGAGACAUCAGAGAAGGCCAUGGCACGCCCUCCAGCCAGGAGUCCCACAGGCAGCCCUGGUGAAUCCAGCUCUCAGGAAGACAAACUGAGACUCAGAGAGACUGAGUCUGAGGCUGGACUCACAGGGAUGCUAAGAAGGAGAUGGAGGCAGCUGUGUCCUGCAGAGGGACCCUUUCCCCCAGCUCCUCCCUUUCCCCCAGACUGGGGUGAUCCUCCUGCAGGUGCCUCAGCCCCUCCUGAGCUUGCCAAAGAAGAAAUUGAGGCUGACUAAAAUGGAGAGGUGGAAAUGAGAAAACUGGUACUUGAACCCCAGCAAUCUGUGAUUCUGGAGCCUAGGAUCUUGACUCCUGUGGUCUAUCUGGGAAAAAGAUCAAGAAAUUUGUUGACACCUUCUUUUCUAUAUGUCUUGGGCUUAAAUAGAUUUUGCUUCGGUCACAA